GACGAACGCUGGCGGCGUGCUUAACACAUGCAAGUCGAGCGGUAAGGCCCUUUCGGGGGUACACGAGCGGCGAACGGGUGAGUAACACGUGGGUGACCUGCCCUCAGCUCUGGGAUAAGCCUGGGAAACCGGGUCUAAUACUGGAUAUGACUCCAUGACGCAUGUUGUGGGGUGGAAAGCCUUGUGCGGCUGAGGAUGGGCCCGCGGCCUAUCAGCUUGUUGGUGGGGUGANGGCCUACCAAGGCGACGACGGGUAGCCGGCCUGAGAGGGCGACCGGCCACACUGGGACUGAGACACGGCCCAGACUCCUACGGGAGGCAGCAGGUGGGGAAUCUUGCGCAAUGGGCGAAAGCCUGACGCAGCGACGCCGCGUGAGGGAUGACGGCCUCGGUUGUAA
rnacentral:rRNA from 1 species